AUGUACCACUCGUACACUGCGGUUCCUGCGCGCCGUCCGCGCCCACCUGACGGCUGCUCGCGCUUACCGCCAGGC
rnacentral:sRNA from 1 species